rnacentral:rRNA from 1 species
GGCUCAGGAUGAACGCUAGCGGCAGGCUUAACACAUGCAAGUCGAGGGGCAGCGUGAGGGUUAGCAAUAACCCUUGACGGCGACCGGCGCAAGGGUGCGUAACGCGUGAGCAACUUGCCCGUUUCAGGGGGAUAACCGGUGGAAACGCCGACUAAUACCCCAUGGCAUCACAUCAAGGCAUCUUUUUGUGAUUAAAGAAAUUCGGAUAAGGAUAGGCUCGCGUGACAUUAGCUAGACGGCGGGGUAACGGCCCACCGUGGCGACGAUGUCUAGGGGUUCUGAGAGGAAGGUCCCCCACACUGGAACUGAGACACGGUCCAGACUCCUACGGGAGGCAGCAGUGAGGAAUAUUGGUCAAUGGUCUGACGACUGAACCAGCCAUGCCGCGUGAAGGUCACGGCCCUAUGGGUCUUAAACUUCUUUUGCGAGGGAGCAAUAAGGUCUACGUGUAGUCCGAUGAGAGUACCUCGCGAAUAAGCAUCGGCUAACUCCGUG